GCAGAGGGAGUUUUAUGUAAAAACUCUGGAGUUUCUCAAACUGAAGCCUCGUGGGCCAGCGCUAGCGAGGGCGAGAUGACGGAGCUUCUUUGCGAGGCGACGGCGAGGGACGCGGCGACGGCGAAGCGCGCGGCCAAUCACCGCCUCUCGCGGCCACCGCUCCCCCGAGGCAGGUGACGGCGAGCGACGGCGAUCAUCGGCGGGCUGCUCUAUCUCGGUCCGGCACGCUCGCGACCACAGAAAGUAGGCGGGACGUGCCGUCGUCUGGUCAAGCCGCGUUCUGUUUCCAUGAAAUCCGCGCAGGCCAAAUGAGUUCUCAUUUUUGAUCUCUGAGCGCGCCAGGCACUUUCGCAAUGUCUUAACUGGCGAAAAAGGGGAGCCAAGCCGUUCGCAGGGCUAAUGUGAACCAGAGACAGACAAAAUGUCAGGAUGUUGCAUGUUAGAAAACUCCGCGAUGAAAGGGGUCCCGUGGACUGUGUCCAAAAUCGCUCAAAGGGAAUCGGAGAGCAGGCAAAUCCACAGCAGAUUUGGAGAGGUCCCGAGCUGACACAUCACACGGCGGGGCCAUUUUGUGGGGAAGCGAUAAUUUCGCUACUCCCUCCAGAAGCAUCAGGAAGAACAUUAAGCCUCAGCUUGGUAGGAAGGUGGAUUUAUGGAGCAUACCAGAGCCGCAAAGAUAUUUGUCAACAAAGCCAUUCACAAGAAUUACAUGGAAGGAUUUGGAAAAAACAGAAAGAGAGCGAGUGAGAUGGCCAAGGAACCGCUAACCGCAUUGCACAGUUCUGUUUUCCCUCUUCUUGUCACAUCAAACGCUGCGAGGGGACCUGCUCGGCUGGGGCUCUGCUACGAUGGGGAGUCCAACUGGUGGAAGCGGGGCUUAAAGGGUUAAAGGGUCCUUCCAUCACUUUACCCUCCCACAGGCUCCCUAGCCUCAGUGCUUCAACCGCAACAAUGUCUUAUCUUCCUGGCUGUUUCUCCUCCACCACAUGUACGUGGGGGAUUACGGCAGGGAAGGUUUCAGUUGUUAGGGUUGAGCCGUCGAAUGUCCAACAGCCCCAGCAUUGCCGAAGAAGCGUUGCAUUCAGUGCUUGUAACCAUAAAGCUGACUAUAAAUGAUGUAGCUGUCAUUUUAACAACCUUUAAUCAUAAACUUUAAGAACACAAAGGAUACAAAGUCCAAACUGAGGAGUAUUUAGUUUAUAAUAAUUAAAAUUUGUUGACUUGGACAUACAGUGCCAAGUCAGUAGUGUUGACGAAGCUGGAUUGUAAGCUUUUGCUUUGUCCAACCAAACAGUUCCAUGGGGUUAUUUGGUUUAUUUGUUUUUCUUAUCAUAGGAACACAUUUGAUGCCUCUUACCCAAGUACUCCAUGCUAUCCAGUAAUGUACUGUGCAUAUAUCAGAUGAAUGAGGUCAUCUUCGGUGGAAAAUUUUGUCAGACAAUACUCCCAGUGCGUCUGGAACCCGGCCAGCCCCACAGCAUUGAGAUGAUACAGACAAACACCCGAAACACUGGCAGCCGCAGCGGAGAAGCAGAUGCUCCCGGACGUCACAGCUGCCCUCGGUCGGCAAGCGGAGCCGAAUCGGACCUGAGCGGUGGGAAAGCAGGGGAUCUAUUUUUGUAUGUUUUUGUUGAGUUGUCCUUUUAUUUAGGGUGAGGCCAUAUAUAAGCCCCUUGGGUUUCUUGCCUCUCCCUGCACUAUUUCACUGUUUUUAAGUCUCUUCUAUUUCUGUUUUAUAUUUUAAUUGUGCUAAAUAAAAUCAAAAUCAAAUCAAAUCAAA